AGAGCUUCAAUAAGUGAUAAAGGGGGCUUUGCCAUAUAAGAUCUUAAAUGACAGAAUGGCAUCAAAGUAAUUCAUCAUAGCAUUAAUCCUUAAUUUAAGGACACCAUACUUGCUAAGAACGCUGCACUGGUCAUGUCACCGGUGAACAUACUGAAUCCACAUGGGGCCAGAGGUUCUGCUGCUGCCCUCAGGCUUGCAGGUUGGAAAGCUGUAUAUGCGGAGUGAAGGACCUCCAGUGUUGCCAACAAAGGUUGCGUUACGUCACCUGAAAGCCCUCUGCCCACUUUGGCAGCUGUAUGAGGCGGGAGGCUUAAAUGGGUUAACAGACAUAAAAUGAGAAUUGACUGGAAGGCAACCUGUCAUCUGGAGGCUCCCUGGUGCCCCCCUCCCCCCUACUCUCCUCCAUGUGGGGGGUCUC